rnacentral:rRNA from 1 species
ACGGGAGGCAGCAGUGGGGAAUAUUGCACAAUGGGGGAAACCCUGAUGCAGCGACGCCGCGUGAGUGAAGAAGUUAUUCGUAAUGUAAAGCUCUAUCAGCAGGGAAGAAAAUGACGGUACCUGACUAAGAAGCCCCGGCUAACUACGUGCCAGCAGCCGCGGUAAUACGUAGGGGGCAAGCGUUAUCCGGAUUUACUGGGUGUAAAGGGAGCGUAGACGGCUUUGUAAGUCUGAUGUGAAAGGCAGGGGCUCAACUCCCGGACUGCAUUGGAAACUACAGAGCUUGAGUGCCGGAGAGGUAAGCGGAAUUCCUAGUGUAGCGGUGAAACGCGUAGAUAUUAGGAGGAAUACCAGUGGCGAAGGCGGCUUACUGGACGGUAACUGACGUUGAGGCUCGAAAGCGUGGGGAGCAAACAGGAUUAGAUACCCUGGUA